UGAGGAAUAUUGGUCAAUGGACGGAAGUCUGAACCAGCCAUGCCGCGUGAAGGAUGAAGGCGUUCUGCGUUGUAAACUUCUUUUAUCUGUGAAGAAACCACAGAUUUCUAUUUGUGUUGACGGUACCAGAGGAAUAAGCACCGGCUAACUCCGUGCCAGCAGCCGCGGUAAUACGGAGGGUGCGAGCGUUAUCCGGAUUUACUGGGUUUAAAGGGUGCGUAGGCGGGCUAUUAAGUCAGAGGUGAAAUCUCCGGGCUCAACCUGGAAACUGCCUUUGAUACUAUCAGCCUUGAAUUAUGUUGAGGUUGGCGGAAUAUAACAUGUAGCGGUGAAAUGCUUAGAUAUGUCAUAGAACACCGAUUGCGAAGGCAGCUAACGAAACUAUAACUGACGCUGAGGCACGAAAGUGCGGGGAUCAAACA
rnacentral:rRNA from 1 species